ACAACAUUCGGACCGUCGAUCUACCGAACAAUACCACCCGCUCGGUGGGAGAUCCUUUCGUCGU
rnacentral:pre_miRNA from 1 species